UUGUUUCCAUUUUUUUUUAUGUUGUUGUUUCUGUUGUUGUUUUCGUUUUUGUUUUCUUCAUUUCUUACUUGCAUCAUAUCAAAA
rnacentral:ribozyme from 16 species